UCAGUUGUGUGUUAAGUGCCACUCUGGGUAAGGUUUUCAGUUCUCUGUGGCCUACAUGUUCUACUAUAUUCCUCCCUAAACUUUUAAGUAUUGUGUUUAUUGCCACUGUAACUUAAGUAUGAUCAUUUCUAGUUGGACUACAUGUUCUACUUACAUUCCUCCCUAAACUUUGGUUCUGUGUUAGAUCCCACUCUGGCUAGGGUAUGGAUUAGUUCUAGGUUGAUUACAUGUUCUACUUACAUUCCUCCCUAAACUUUGGUUCUGUGUUAGAUCCCACUCUGGCUAGGGUAUGGAUUAGUUCU